rnacentral:rRNA from 1 species
CGAGUGGCGAACGGGUGAGUAACACGUGGGUGAUCUGCCCUGCACUUCGGGAUAAGCCUGGGAAACUGGGUCUAAUACCGGAUAGGACGAUGGUUUGGAUGCCAUUGUGGAAAGUUUUUCGGUGUAGGAUGAGCUCGCGGCCUAUCAGUUUGUUGGUGAGGUAGUGGCUCACCAAGGCGAUGACGGGUAGCCGGCCUGAGAGGGCGACCGGCCACACUGGGACUGAGACACGGCCCAG